rnacentral:rRNA from 1 species
CUACCCUUGACAUCCAGUGAACGCUGUAGAGAUACGGCGGUGCCGAAAGGAACUCUGAGACAGGUGCUGCAUGGCUGUCGUCAGCUCGUGUUGUGAGAUGUUGGGUUAAGUCCCGUAACGAGCGCAACCCUUAUCCUUAGUUACCAUCAUUUAGUUGGGGACUCUAAGGAGACUGCUGGUGAUGAACCGGAGGAAGGCGGGGACGACGUCAAGUCAUCAUGGCCUUUAUGGGUAGGGCUACACACGUGCUACAAUGGUCGGUACAGAGGGCAGCCAACCCGCGAGGGGGAGCCAAUCCCGCAAAGCCGAUCGUAGUCCGGAUCGGAGUCUGCAACUCGACUCCGUGAAGUCGGAAUCGCUAGUAAUCGCGAAUCAGAAUGUCGCGGUGAAUACGUUCCC